UGUGAAGGAGCUAAGUGGUAGAGCACUUGCCUUGCAUACUUGAGGCCCUGGGUUCAAUUCUCAGCACCACAU
rnacentral:tRNA from 1 species